GGCCGGUUCGCUCAGUAGGUUAGAGCGUGGGGCUAAUAACGCCAAGGUCGCGGGGUUUGAUCCCCGUAAGGGCCA
rnacentral:tRNA from 1 species